AUUGAACGCUGGCGGCAUGCUUUACACAUGCAAGUCGAACGGUAACAGGCCGCAAGGUGCUGACGAGUGGCGAACGGGUGAGUAAUGCAUCGGAACGUGCCCAGUCGUGGGGGAUAACGCAGCGAAAGCUGCGCUAAUACCGCAUACGAUCUAUGGAUGAAAGCGGGGGACCGUAAGGCCUCGCGCGAUUGGAGCGGCCGAUGUCAGAUUAGGUAGUUGGUGGGGUAAAGGCUCACCAAGCCGACGAUCUGUAGCUGGUCUGAGAGGACGACCAGCCAAACUGGGACUGAGAAACGGCCCAGACUCCUACGGGAGGCAGCAGUGGGGAAUUUUGGACAAUGGGCGCAAGCCUGAUCCAGCAAUGCCGCGUGCAGGAAGAAGGCCUUCGGGCUGUAAACUGCUUUUGUACGGAACGAAAAGGCUCUGGUUAAUACCUGGGGCUCAUGACGGUACCGUAAGAAUAAGCACCGGCUAACUACGUGCCAGCCGCCGCCGUAAUAC
rnacentral:rRNA from 1 species